rnacentral:rRNA from 1 species
GAUGAACGCUGGCGGCGUGCCUAAUACAUGCAAGUCGAGCGAACGGACGAGAAGCUUGCUUCUUUGAUGUUAGCGGAGGACGUGUGUGUAACACGUGGAUAACCUACCUAUAAGACUGGGAUAACUUCGGGAAACCGGAGCUAAUACCGGAUGAUAUUUUGAAGCGCAGGGUUCAAAAGAGAGAGACGGUCUUUCGGUCACUUCUAGAUGGAUCCGCGCUGCAUUAGCUAGUUGGUCAGGUAACGGCUUACCAAGGCAACGAUGCAUAGACGACCUGCGGGGGUGAUCGCCCACCCUGGAACUGAGACACGGUCCAGACUACUACGGGAGGCAGCAGUAGGGAAUCUUCCGCAAUGGGCGAAAGCCUGACGGAGCAACGCCGCGUGAGUGAUGAAGGUCUUGGGAUCGUAAAACUCUGUUAUUAGGUAAGAGCAUAUGUGUAAGUAACUGUGCACAGCUUGACGGUACCUAAUCAGAAAGCCACGGCUAACUACGUG